UUCAAAUACAGUUAAUUUUUAAAUCUUGAUUUUUGUAUCUAGCAACUUUGUAAUUCAUUUACAAAUUCUUGGGGAUUUUCUGUCUAUACAAGCAGGUCAUCUGGGAUGAUACUAGAGGCAGCGCAGUAUAGACUGGGGAACAGCACCGGCAGGGUCUGGACCUCAGCGCUGCCACAGAUGAGUCAUGUGUCUUUAGACACGUUCCAUGAACUGUAAAAUAAGGUGAAUAAUAGUACCUGCCUCAUAGGGUUGCUGUGAGAAUUGAGACAGUAAAUGUAAAGCAGGUUGUAAGUGUUACAUAAGUGUAUGCUAUUAUUGUAAUUACUUUUCUUUCCUUUCCAGUCAUACUUUGUAUUUCUUUUCCUUACUGCACUGGCUAGAACCUAAAGGACAGAGGUCAAGAAAGCUGGCAUCCCUGACCUCCUGAUCUGAAAAGAAAAGCUUUCAGUCAUUCAUCACUAAGCAUUUUGUCCACUGUGUGUUUGUCUUAAGAUUGCCUUUAUCAGAUUAAGGAAUGUCCAUUUUAUUCCUAGUUUGCCGAGAAUUUUUAUUGUCAUAGGAUGUUUAAUUUGGCCACAUCUUUUUCUGCAUCUGUUGAAGUAAUCAAAUUAUUUUAUCUUAUAAUCUCUUAAUAUGAUGAAUUACAUUGGGUUUUAUAAUGAUAAACCAAACAGGGUAGUCUGUAUAUUGCAUUGUAAAGUGAGUGGGUAUCAGUCGUGCAGUGACCGUGGUAGCGUGGAGCCAGCCGGAUGUGCACUCAAAUAAAAAGGUCAGAGCAGAGACGGACGGCGGCCUGAGAGGGCAGCAGAUUCGCGCUAACAGAGCAGGUCAAGCAGGGCCUCCUCGCCUUGCUCUUCCGCUUCAGCAUAUACGUCUCCAAGCUCAGGAAAUGCAGUUACAUCAAAUGUCUAAAUUGGAUGGAAAGAAAUUCUGUGUGCUCCCAGGAUUCCAGUUCCUUACCGGAGGUUGGUGCCGUCUGAGUCUGAAAAGCUGCCCUCUUGCCGUGUUCAUGCUUUGGUAGAACACCUUCAGAGCCUUGGCAAGCUCUCGGUCAGAGCCGGCUUGCUGUGUGCACAUUUGGCUCAUCUCCCCGGCGGAUGGCAGUUGCGCAGUCAUCCCGCUGAUCUUCAGAGUGUUGGAAGGCUUCGGGGCUGAGGUGGAAAAAGGAUGUGGCCUUCACCUGUGACCAUGAGGCCCAGCUGAGAGCAGCUCAGCUCGGUGCAGCCUUCUGUAAUGGGGAGAGACACAGUCAAAGAAAGAAACAUCCCAGUCGCCCAGCUCCAGUGUCAGCUUCAUGCAGUAGGCCAGCGACUGGAGCCAGAUGUGAGCUGAGCCCAAGCGGACGACCUCGACAGGAUCCCAGAAAGGGUCGUCAUCUCGAGCCACAGGGCCGUGAUCUCCAUCUAGAAAGCGCUGGUAAAGUUCCUGCAUUAGGAAUUUCCUAUUGAUGAACUUGGCUUUUGACCAUAUCCACACCUGGAAACACAGAGGUAGGUCACCAGUAUUUGAUUCAUCUGCUGCUCUCACAAUUCAUCACUCUGAUUUUCCCAGCAUGCUCCCUUCAUUGACUGGGUUUGCGGUACGCAUGACCACAUCCCACUUUCUCCACACCUAGCUUUGCUGACAUCAAGAAUAUCGUAUUAAUUCCUGGACCUGUUACUUCCCCAUUGCUUGAGCCUAGGAAACGAU
rnacentral:lncRNA from 10 species